AAACUAACAAGGAUUCCCCUAGUAACGGCGAGUGAAGCGGGAAAAGCUCAAAUUUAAAAUCUGGCAGUGUAUUCUGUCCGAGUUGUAGUCUAGAGAAGCAUCAUCCUGUGCUGGACCAUGUACAAGUCUCUUGGAACAGAGCGUCAUAGAGGGUGAGAAUCCCGUCCUUGACAUGGCCUUCCCAGUGCUUUGUGUUGUGCUCUCAACGAGUCGAGUUGUUUGGGAAUGCAGCUCAAAAUGGGUGGUAAAUUCCAUCUAAAGCUAAAUAUUGGCGAGAGACCGAUAGCGAACAAGUACCGUGAGGGAAAGAUGAAAAGCACUUUGGAGAGAGAGUUAAACAGUACGUGAAAUUGUUGAAAUGGAAACGCUUGAAGUCAGUCGCGUUCUCUGGGAUUCAGCCUUGCUUCUGCUUGGUGCAUUUCCUAGUCUAUGGGCCAGCAUGAAUUUUGACUGGUGGAAAAGGACUUGGGGAAUGUGGCACCUUCGGGUGUGUUAUAGCCCCUUGCCAUAUACACUGGUUGGGAUUGAGGACUUUCAGUGCACGCUUCAGUUGUGCUUUGAUGCUGGCGUAAUGGCUUUAAACGAC
rnacentral:rRNA from 2 species